CCAGACUCCUACGGGAGGCAGCAGUGAGGAAUAUUGGUCAAUGGUCGGGAGACUGAGCCAGCCAAGCCGCGUGAGGGAGGAAGGUACAGAGUAUCGUAAACCUCUUUUGUCGGGGAACAAAGGCGGAGACGCGUCUCCGGAUGAGUGUACCCGAAGAAAAAGCAUCGGCUAACUCCGUGCCAGCAGCCGCGGUAAUACGGAGGAUGCGAGCGUUAUCCGGAUUUAUUGGGUUUAAAGGGUGCGCAGGCGGGAGGUCAAGUCAGCGGUAAAAUGUCGGGGCUCAACCCCGGCCGGCCGUUGAAACUGGCAGUCUCGAGUUGGAGAGAAGUAUGCGGAAUGCGCGGUGUAGCGGUGAAAUGCAUAGAUAUCGCGCAGAACUCCGAUUGCGAAGGCAGCAUGCCGGCUCCACACUGACGCUGAGGCACGAAAGCGUGGGUAUCGAACAGGAUUAGAUACCCCAGUAA
rnacentral:rRNA from 1 species